UACGAAGGGGGCUAGCGUUGCUCGGAAUCACUGGGCGUAAAGCGCACGUAGGCGGCUUUUAAGUCAGAGGUGAAAUCCUGGAGCUCAACUCCAGAACUGCCUUUGAUACUGGAGAGCUGAGUCCGGGAGAGGUGAGUGGAACUGCGAGUGUAGAGGUGAAAUUCGUAGAUAUUCGCAAGAACACCAGUGGCGAAGGCGGACUCACUGGCCCGGUACUGACGCUGAGGUGCGAAAGCGU
rnacentral:rRNA from 1 species